AGCCUCCUGGUAUUUAACACAGCUGUGUUCUUACACUGACUGUGUAAAAAGAGAAAGAAAGAAACCUAUCCCCUGUGCAUUUCAGCCCAGGCCCCAUGCUUCGUCUGGAUUGUGAAUAGGGAAACAUGG
ensembl:snoRNA